rnacentral:rRNA from 1 species
CAGGACGAACGCUGGCGGCGUGCCUAAUACAUGCAAGUCGAACGGUCUUUCUAUGGAAGCUUGCUUCCACUGAGAAGAUAGUGGCGAACGGGUGAGUAACACGUGGGUAACCUGCCCAUAAGAGGGGGAGUAACAUCCGGAAACGGGUGCUAAUACCGCAUAGUUUCUUGAUCGCAUGAUCGGGAAAGGAAAGACGGCCUUUGUGCUGUCGCUUAUGGAUGGACCCGCGGCGUAUUAGUUAGUUGGUGAGGUAACGGCUCACCAAGACGAUGAUACGUAGCCGACCUGAGAGGGUGAUCGGCCACAUUGGGACUGAGACACGGCCCAAACUCCUACGGGAGGCAGCAGUAGGGAAUCUUCCGCAAUGGACGAAAGUCUGACGGAGCAACGCCGCGUGAGUGAAGAAAAGGUUUUCGGAUCGUAAAACUCUGUUGUCAGAGAAGAACAAGUUGGAGAGUAACUGCUCCAGCCUUGACGGUAUCUGACCAGAAAGCCACGGCUAACUACGUGCCAGCCGCAGC